rnacentral:rRNA from 1 species
UCACCGGCUUCGGAUGGGCACUCUAAGGAGACUGCCGGUGACAAACCGGAGGAAGGUGGGGAUGACGUCAAAUCCUCAUGGCCCUUAUGGCUGGGGCUACACACGUCUUACAAUGGGCGGUACAAAGGGUUGCCAACCCGCGAGGGGGAGCCAAUCCCAUAAAACCGUUCUCAGUCCGGAUUGCAGUCUGCAACUCGCCUGCAGAAGUCGGAAUCGCUAGUAAUCCGAUC